rnacentral:snRNA from 1 species
GGAUGUGAGGUCGAACUGGCUGUCACAUCUGUCACCCCAUUGAUUGCCAGGGUUGAUUCGGCUGAUCUGGCUGGCUAGGCGGGUGUCCCCUUCCUCCCUCACCUUUCUAUGUGCAUCUCUCCUGAAGCUGCAUGCUCUGAAGAGUACGAUUUCCCUGAUAGAGGAGGACCGUUCUUCUGUCAAGGGUUUAUGAGUAGUAGCUGCGCUCCCCUGCUAGAACCUCCAAACAAGCUCUCAAGGUAGUGGUUUGUGGUACACCAAUAUGUGUUUGGUCAGUUCUCAGUGAAUAUACACUUAAAAUUUUUUAUUUAAUUGUAUGUGGAUUUUAUAUAGAAUGAUAACUU